rnacentral:rRNA from 1 species
GGAGGGUGCAAGCGUUAUUCGGAAUCACUGGGCGUAAAGAGCGCGUAGGCGGUUUCUAAAGUCAGAUGUGAAAGCCCGGGGCUCAACCCCGGAAGUGCAUUUGAAACUUAGGGACUUGAGUAUGGGAGAGGGAAGUGGAAUUCCUGGUGUAGCGGUGAAAUGCGUAGAUAUCAGGAGGAACACCGGUGGCGAAGGCGACUUCCUGGACCAAUACUGACGCUGAGGCGCGAAGGCGUGGGGAGCAAACAGGAUUAGAUACCCUGGUAGUCCACGCAGUAAACGUUGAACACUAGGUGUAGCGGGUAUUGACCCCCCUGCUGUGCCGCAGCUAACGCAUUAAGUGUUCCGCCUGGGGGAGUACGGCCGCAAGGCUA